AAGUGUUACUGCUCUUUUACU
rnacentral:snRNA from 1 species